CAUUAACUUCUGAGUGCAAAGCUAAGGGGCUCCAGUCCUGCGUAUCAAUUUUUAGGCCCAUUAAGUUUAUGGGCCCAGCUUGAUUGGCCCAUCAAUAGCCGCAGGAAAGGGGAUAUUCUGCCAUUUUCGAGGUUCGUGUCUCACGCGCUAUGUCUUCUCGCGUUGACUCCACGCUCCUUUUUUCCCAAUCCUCUUCGCAUCUCUCUGACGAAUGUCGGAACAGUGGGUUUCUAUCUCGCACAAAACCAGGACCAGAAACCAGUAUGUUCGUCUCUGACAAGCCUCGCCCGAUCGUUUUCUACAAGAACGAUAUCAAUUCCUCGACCGCCGCCCGCGACAUGAUAAUCGAAGUCCCUGCCGACGGAGAUCUGCCCCCGCAUCAGCACAAUAGCCACCAUCAUAACCAGCUCCACCAAGCUCAGCAACAGCAGCAGAUGAUCCUGGGCGACAGCAGCGGCGAAGACCAUGAGAUGAAGGCCCCGAAGAAGCGGGCGGAGACGUGGGUCCAGGACGAAACUCGGUGUCUGAUCGCGUUGCGGAGGGAGAUGGACGGUCUCUUCAACACGUCCAAGUCGAACAAGCACCUGUGGGAGCAGAUUUCGGCUAAGAUAAGGGAGAAGGGGUUCGAUCGAUCGCCAAUGAUGUGUACGGACAAGUGGAGGAACCUGUUGAAGGAGUUCAAGAAAGCUAGGCAUCAGGAUAGGGGAAGUGGAUCCGCGAAGAUGUCGUACUACAAGGAGAUCGAGGAGAUCCUCAGGGAGAGGAGCAAGAAGGCGGCGCAGUAUAAGAGCCCUCCACCUUCCAAAGUUGAUUCCUUUAUGCAAUUUGCCGACAAAGGUUUUGACGAUACCAGCCUUUCAUUCGGAUCAGUUGAAGCUAGUGUCAGGCCAGCACUUAACCUUGAAAGGCGCCUAGACCAUGACGGGCAUCCUCUCACAAUCGCAACCGCCGAUGCAGUUGCGCCCAGUGGAGUUCCUCCUUGGAAUUGGAGGGAGACCCCCGGAAACGGCAAGUAUCAGAAGCUUAUUAACUUAAGCCUCCAGUUAGUUUGUCAAAGCAGGUGGGGAUGGUCAUUCCUUUGGUGGGAGGGUCAUCACAGUGAAAUUCGGGGACUACACAAGAAGAAUCGGCAUUGAUGGUACGGCGGAAGCAAUCAAGGAAGCCAUCAGAUCCGCCUUUCGGUUAAGAACAAGACGAGCCUUCUGGCUCGAAGACGAAGAACAAAUCGUCCGGAGCCUUGACCGAGACAUGCCCCAAGGCAGUUACACUCUCCACGUCGACGAAGGACUGGCCAUAAAGGUGUAUCAUUACGACGAGUCGGACCAGUUGCCGGUCCAUACGGAGGAGAAGAUGUUCUACACGGAAGAAGAUUACAGAGAGUUUCUGGAGAGAAGGGGGUGGACUUGUCUCAGAGAGUUUGAUGGGUUUCGGAACAUAGACAAUAUGGAUGAUCUUCAACCCGGUGCCUUGUAUCGUGGAAUUAGAUGAUAGAAACAUUAUACUACUCACAUAUAUAUAUAUAUAUAUAUAUUUCUUGGAAGAUGUGAAUA